ensembl:lncRNA
AGAGAAGGUAAGGGGACAGAGAGAAGAGAAGGUAAGGGGACAGAGAGAAGAGAAGGUAAGGGGACAGAGAGAAGAGAAGGUAGGGGACAGAGAGAAGAGAAGGUAAGGGACAGAGAGAAGGUAGGGGACAGAGAGAAGGUAGGGGACAGAGAGAAGAGAAGGUAGGGGACAGAGGGAAGAGAAGGUAAGGGGACAGAGAGAAGAGAAGGUAGGGGACAGAGGGAAGAGAAGGUACGGGACAGAGGGAAGAGAAGGUAAGGGGAUAGAGGGAAGAGAAGGUAAGGGGACAGAGAGAAGAGAAGGUAGAAGACAGAGAGAAGAGAAGGUAGACACCUAGCGGUACCAGGAGCAGGACAGAUAUUGGAGUAUGAGUGUGACUGCAAUGGAGACGGUCUGCAUUGAGGACAGGGCUGGAGACAGUCUGCUCUGAGGACAGCUCUGAGGACAGGACUGGAGACCGUCUGCUCUGAGGACAGGACUGGAGACAGUCUGCUCUGAGGACAGGGCUGGAGACAGUCUGCUCUGAGGACAGGGCUGGAGACAGUCUGCUCUGAGGACAGGGCUGGAGACAGUCUGCUCUGAGGACAGGACUGGA